UNUGACUUGAGUGCAGAAGGGGAGAGUGGAAUUCCAUGNGUAGCGGUGAAAUGCGUAGAUAUAUGGAGGAACACCAGUGGCGAAAGCGGCUCUCUGGUCUGUCACUGACGCUGAGGCUCGAAAGCGUGGGUAGCGANCAGGAUUAGAUACCCUGGUAGUNCACGCCGUAAACGAUGAGUGCUAGGUGUUAGGCCCUUUCCGGGGCUUAGUGCCGGAGCUAACGCAAUAAGCACUCCGCCUGGGGAGUACGACCGCAAGGUUGAAACUCAAAGGAAUUGACGGGGGCCCGCACAAGCGGUGGAGCAUGUGGUUUAAUUCGAAGCAACGCGAAGAACCUUACCAGGUCUUGACAUCCCGAUGCUAUUCUUAGAGAUAGGAAGUUACUUCGGUACAUCGGAGACAGGUGGUGCAUGGUUGUCGUCAGCUCGUGUCGUGAGAUGUUGGGUUAAGUCCCGCAACGAGCGCAACCCUUAUUGUUAGUUGCCAUCAUUAAGUUGGGCACUCUAGCGAGACUGCCGGUAAUAAACCGGAGGAAGGUGGGGAUGACGUCAAAUCAUCAUGCCCCUUAUGACCUGGGCUACACACGUGCUACAAUGGUCGGUACAAUGAGUUGCGAGCCGGUGACGGCAAGCUAAUCUCUGAAAGCCGAUCUCAGUUCGGAUUGGAGGCUGCAACUCGCCUCCAUGAAGUCGGAAUCGCUAGUAAUCGCGGAUCAGCACGCCGCGGUGAAUACGUUCCCGGGCCUUGUACACACCGCCCGUCACACCACGAGAGUUUGUAACACCCGAAGUCGGUGAGGUAACCUUUUAGGGGCCAGCCGCCUAAGGUGGGAUGGA
rnacentral:rRNA from 1 species